AUGAAAGAGAUGUAUCAAAGUGCAGAAGCUAAAGUCAGUAAAUCCACUGGAAAGUGGAACUGUGUGGAAGAGAGGAUAUGUCAACUCCAACGUGAAAAUCCGUGGCUUGAACAGCAACUAGUUGAUGUUCAUCAGAAAGAGGAUCAUAAAGAGAUAGUAAUUAAUAUCCAAAGAGGCUUUAUUGAGAGUAGAAAGAAAGACCUCAUGCUAGAAGAGAAAAAUAAGAAGCUAAUGAAUGAAUAUGAUCAUUUAAAAGAAAGUCUCUUUCAAUAUGAGAGACAGAAAGCAGAAACAGUAGUGGUUAUGAGACAACUUCAACAAGAAGUGGCUGAUUCCCUUAAAAAAUUAACUAUGUUAGAGUCUCCACUGGAAGGUACAUCAUGUUGUCACAUUAAUUUGGAUGAGACACAGGCCUCAAAGAAGAAAUUAUUUCAAGUGGAAAGUCAAUUUGAUGAUCUUACAGCAGAGAAGGAAGCUGUAUCUUCAAAAUAUGUCAAUUUGGCUAAAGACAAUCAAGUUCUUCAACAGGAGUUAUUAUCUAUGAAUAAAGUACAACAGGAAUGUGAAAAACUUGAGGAGGAUAAAAAGAUGUUGGAAGAAGAAAUAUUAAAUCUUAAGACACAUGGAAAACAAUAUGGUAGAACUUAGUAAACUACAAGAAUAUAAAUUGGAGCUAGAUGAAAGGGCAAUGCAGGCAGUAGAAAAAUUAGAAGAAAUCCAUUUACAGAAACAAGCACAAUAUGAAAAACAAUUAGAGCAGUUAAACAAGGAUAAUACGGCUUCACUAAAUAUGAAGGAACUCACACUUAAAGAUGUGGAAUGUAAAUUCUCCAAAAUGAAAACUACUUAUGAAGAGGUUACAACCAAAUUAGAAGAAUAUAAAGAAGCCUUUGCAGCAGCAUUGAACGCUAACAAUUCCAUGUCAAAAAAAUUAACGAAAUCUAAUAAGAAAAUAGCAAUGAUCAGCACCAAGCUCCUUAUGGAGAAAGAGUGGGUGAAAUAUUUUCUCAGCACUCUUCCUACAAGGCGAGGUCAAGAGUCACCUUGUGUUGAAAAUCUUACUAGUAUAGUACUCAACAGUAAAUAUAUUCCCAAAAUGACCGUAAGAAUUCCUACUUCAAACCCUCAGACCUCAAAUAACUGCCAGAACUACUUGACUGAGCUGUUGCUGUGUUGGACACUUGCUC
rnacentral:lncRNA from 1 species